UCCUACGGGAGGCAGCAGUGGGGAAUUUUGGACAAUGGGGGAAACCCUGAUCCAGCCAUCCCGCGUGUGCGAUGAAGGCCUUCGGGUUGUAAAGCACUUUUGGCAGGAAAGAAACGUCAUGGGUUAAUACCCCGUGAAACUGACGGUACCUGCAGAAUAAGCACCGGCUAACUACGUGCCAGCAGCCGCGGUAAUACGUAGGGUGCAAGCGUUAAUCGGAAUUACUGGGCGUAAAGCGUGCGCAGGCGGUUCGGAAAGAAAGAUGUGAAAUCCCAGAGCUUAACUUUGGAACUGCAUUUUUAACUACCGGGCUAGAGUGUGUCAGAGGGAGGUGGAAUUCCGCGUGUAGCAGUGAAAUGCGUAGAUAUGCGGAGGAACACCGAUGGCGAAGGCAGCCUCCUGGGAUAACACUGACGCUCAUGCACGAAAGCGUGGGGAGCAAACAGGAUUAAACCCCCUGGG
rnacentral:rRNA from 1 species